rnacentral:rRNA from 1 species
UACGUAGGUGGCGAGCGUUGUCCGGAUUUACUGGGCGUAAAGCGCGCGCAGGCGGUCCGGUAAGUCUCCGGUGAAAUCGCCCGGCUCAACUGGGCGGGUGCCGGGGAGACUGGCGGACUUGAGGAGCCUAGAGGCCGGUGGAACUCCCGGUGUAGUGGUGAAAUGCGUAGAGAUCGGGAAGAACACCAGUGGCGAAGGCGGCCGGCUGGGGGUGUCCUGACGCUGAGGCGGCGAAGAGCGUGGGGAGCAAACCGG